GGAAUCUUCCGCAAUGGGCGAAAGCCUGACGGAGCAACGCCGCGUGAGUGAAGAAGGGUUUCGGCUCGUAAAGCUCUGUUGACGGGGACGAAUGUGCGAAAUGCGAAUAGUUUUUCGCAAUGACGGUACCCGUCGAGGAAGCCACGGCUAACUACGUGCCAGCAGCCGCGGUAAUACGUAGGUGGCGAGCGUUGUCCGGAAUUAUUGGGCGUAAAGGGAGCGCAGGCGGGAAGGCAAGUCAGUCUUAAAAGUGCGGGGCUCAACCCCGUGAUGGGAUUGAAACUGUCUUUCUUGAGUGCAGGAGAGGAAAGCGGAAUUCCUAGUGUAGCGGUGAAAUGCGUAGAUAUUAGGAGGAACACCAGUGGCGAAGGCGGCUUUCUGGACUGUAACUGACGCUGAGGCUCGAAAGCGUGGGGAGCGAACA
rnacentral:rRNA from 1 species